CACCAUCCAUUUCCUAAUUCCUUUCUAUUUAUACCACCACCCUAUAAGCAAAGUAAAAAGAUGGAUGCAACGUUUGGGGUGAAAUUUUCAUCCUCAAGGUGGAGGAAAAAAUUGAUGUUGGUCGUGUCGUGACACUAAAUCAGGCGUUGCUUCGGAGGAAACCCAAGUUAAGGUAGGGAUUUAUUUUCACUAUUUUUAAUUUUUACUUCACUUAGUUUUUAUUUUUGUUGGGUUACAGGUUGAUGGGAAGUUGAGUACCAAAAACUUGAGCCUAGGAGCAUGGUGAAGACUAAGUGUGAGGUCCUCAGAUCCUCUUGAUAUAUAAAUAUGCUACUAGCUAGGCCUAUAGCUCUUAGGGAGUAUUUCUAUAUGUACCUUUAAGUACACUUUGGGGACAAAGUAGAUUUCUAAGUGUGGGGUGGGGAAAUUCCAAUGGUAUCUUUUUUUUCCUUAGGAGUAAAUUUUAAAAUUUUUGUUUUACAUAAGUGAGAUAUUCUUGUUGGUUCUAUGUGUGAUUUCAUGAUGCAAGUAGUUUGGUUGUAAAAGCAUAUUGAUUGUUCAAAUUAAUACUUUUGAGACUACUAGGAUAUUUAUUAUGACUCAUGUACAUUGUUAGCUUAAUGUUGAAUUUAUGCUGUUAUUUGGUUGAGAGUUUAUGGUGAUCCUACUUUAGUUGAGCAUGUGCCAUACGUUUGUGAGGUUUUGUGUAUCCCUUGUUAAACUUGAAGUCUAGAACUUUCCUGGUUUGUGUUCAAAGUUAAAUAAAGAGCGUGAGUUUAGGAUAUGAUAUAGGUGUUUAUUUGAUAUCCAUUUUCCAUACCCUCUUUUUCCUGCCCUUGUACAUAAUCUUAGUUAGCCCUAUUGAGCCUUUAGCUUGUUUUCUUGGGUAGACUCAUAUAUAGCUUUCAUCCCCUUCUUUGAUUGACCAAAAUUUUAUCCAAUGCUCCUUAGCACUUUAAUGUAAAAUUAAUUGAGUUAAGGAGUUUUAAAUUCAAGAAGGGAAAAGGUAAAAAAAUGAAUCCCCAAAGAAAUAUCUUUUGCUGUUGAAAAUCAAUAUGUGUUAUGGUUGGAGUGGUGUAAUGAAAAGAAUAAAUAUUGUUCAAAUUGAAUAAGAUAUAUUUAGAAAAUACUCCAACCAUAAUGUAUAUGAGUGACCUUAAUGAGAUGGGUCAAAACAAAAGAUGUGGGUAGACAUAAGUGGCGAAAGUUGGUUGUUAAAGGUUAAUUGAAUGAAAAGUGCGAUGUAUUAAAGUGCUUAGGGAAUAUAAUCACUAUUCCGAACAAAAAUAGUUCCUACUCGUCCCUUAGCCUACAUCACAACCCUUAAAGACCUAUUUGAUGUUCAAAUUUCACACUCUGACAUUAGUAGAGUACUACACCAAGGGCAAGCCUAUGAUUCAUCUUGUAUAAGUUGUGAAUUCAUUGAGAGGGUGAGAGCAAUUUGAUUCUUACACCCAUUUUUUGAUAAACUACAUCUACGUAUGUGAGUAUGGGUAACUCUCUUAUGGUGAGGGAAAAUGCUUGAUGGUAGAUAGGUGAUUUAUAUAAUGUCUUAGAUUUAGCAAUAUGUAUGAUUUUUCCAACUUGAUGAGUCAAUUCUUGAGGCUAAGAGGUUUUGGAGUAGGGUUCUUGAACUUCCAAUUGUGUAUAACAUGCUUUGUAUAAGGACUUGCAUUAUGUGUAGUCAUUGUAGUAUUACCUUAAGUUUAUUUCUUGUAGUAUAAGUGUAGAUUCUUCUCUAAUUAUUAUUCUUAUAGUAAAGAAUUUUGCGAGGAUGAACAAGGCUUUAAGUAUGGGUUGAUUAUCUGAGCUUGAUUUAUGCACCUCAAGGUUGUAAUUCGGGCUUAUUUAUCUUUGUUUUGAGGACUUCUUGAGUGAUUAAUGUGUUAAUAAUGACAUAUAUGAGAUAUUAGUGUUAAAUUACUUUAUUACAAUGUUUAAGGUGUUUUCAAAAAAGUUAGGACUAAAAUUGGUCACUUAGAGUUUAGACGAGAAAACUAGUGUUACUAGAUUUAGCUCCGUGUUGUUCUAGUUGAUUACGAUGGGAUCUAGAGUAUGUAAUGUGUUAUUAAUUGUAUGAUUGUUUAAUUAUGUGUGUAAUAACUGUUUUAUAAUGUUUAAGGUUCAAUUGAAUGAAGCUAAGAGUCAAAACUAAGUUAAAGAUCAAAAGGACAAAACUAGCAUUCUUAGCUUAAGUUUCUAGUUCAUCACUUGGGAUUGUCUGUUGUUUUGAUCUCUAAUCGAAGUUUUUGAUGCUAUAGGAUGCUUAUUGAUAUGAUUGUGAUGAUAUAUGGAUGAUAAAAAGGCUUUAAAUAAAUUUUAAAUGACACCACACGGCUUGGAAUGGAUGUACAAAAGCACGAGACAAGAUUUGAUGCAAAAUGAACACCCUGGGUUUCCAUGGCGCGUCGCGGAUCCAAGACACUACUAUGUGGUAUGUUAUAGACAUAAUUAUAUUCAUAAGGGACAAUAAAAUUUAAUCUCCCUGAUUAUGGUGCGUCGCACACCCUAGGUAUCGAGAUAAGUGGUUCGACACUGACCCAUGUCAAAAUCGGCAAGAAUUGUCCUCCUACAAAUAGGACACUUGAACUUGAAGAAAAAUACCUUGAAAGACUAUGAAAAUUUGAGGGAGGCUGGAUAACACUUCAAAUAGGAUUUUAUUCCUUUAAUUUAGUUUGAUUAUAGAUUUUAUCAGUUAUUCAUCUAUCGUUAUUACAGUUAUGUCCAUUAGCGGCCAUAAGCACUUUCCAAGGUUAAG
rnacentral:lncRNA from 1 species